UACGAAGGGGGCUAGCGUUGCUCGGAAUUACUGGGCGUAAAGGGCGCGUAGGCGGCACUGUUAGUCAGGCGUGAAAUUCCUGGGCUCAACCUGGGGACUGCGCUUGAUACGGCAGAGCUUGAGGAUGGAAGAGGGUCGCGGAAUCCCCAGUGUAGAGGUAAAAUUCGUAGAUAUUGGGAAGAACACCGGUGGCGAAGGCGGCGACCUGGUCCAUUACUGACGCUGAGGCGCGACAGCGUGGGGAGCAAACAGG
rnacentral:rRNA from 1 species